rnacentral:RNase_P_RNA from 1 species
UGAAGCCCGAAGCAUGGCCGCUGCGUGCCUUUGGGCGCGUGGAGGAAAGUCCGGGCUCCGCAGAGCAGGAUGCUGGCUAACGGCCAGUGGGGGCAACCCCAAGGAAAGUGCCACAGAAAACAAACCGCCGAUGGGGCGACCUGUGGCAACGCAGGCGCCCACAGGUAAGGGUGAAAAGGUGGGGGCCAUUUCGGCCUUAAUGUAAGAGCCCACCGCGGGCGUGGCGACACGACCGGCACGGCAAACCCCAUCCGGAGCAAGUCCAAGUAAGGCGGCGCUAAGGGUUGCUCGCCCAGCCGCCGGGUAGGACGCUCGAGGCGGCCGGCAACGGUCGUCCCAGAUAAAUGGCCAUGGCUCCCCCUGGGGAGAACAGAACCCGGCUUACCGACGGCUUCAACCC